ACGGACUAAUUCUUAACACUGAGUUCUUAGUAAGGAGCCAGCGAGAGCGCGAAAGAAGAGAGCGCUCCACGCUUUAUUCAAAGUGCCACCCCUACAUACUGAGGAGAGUUUCGAACUGAGGAUUGAGUGUUAAGAAUUAGUUAGUGGCGGACGGGUGAGUAACGCGUGGAUAACCUACCUAGUAGACCGGGACAACCCUUGGAAACGAGGGCUAAUACCGGAUGAGCUUACACCUUGGCAUCAAGGAGUAAGGAAAGAUGGCCUCUGAGAAUGCUAUCGUUAGUAGAUGGAUCCGCGUCUGAUUAGCUAGUUGGUGGGGUAAAGGCCUACCAAGGCGACGAUCAGUAGCCGGCCUGAGAGGGUGAACGGCCACACUGGGACUGAGACACGGCCCAGACUCCUACGGGAGGCAGCAGUGGGGAAUCUUCCGCAAUGGACGAAAGUCUGACGGAGCAACGCCGCGUGUAUGACGAAGGCCUUCGGGUUGUAAAGUACUGUCUUCAGGGACGAACGGUAAGUAUGUAAAGAAUGUACUUACAUGACGGUACCUGAGGAGGAAGCCCCGGCUAACUACGUGCCAGCAGCCGCGGUAAUACGUAGGGGGCAAGCGUUGUCCGGAAUCAUUGGGCGUAAAGGGCGCGUAGGCGGAUACUUAAGUCUGGUGUGAAAACCUAGGGCUCAACCCUGGGACUGCAUCGGAAACUGGGUAUCUUGAGGACAGGAGAGGAAAGUGGAAUUCCACGUGUAGCGGUGAAAUGCGUAGAUAUGUGGAGGAACACCAGUGGCGAAGGCGACUUUCU
rnacentral:rRNA from 1 species